GACGAACGCUGGCGGCGUGCUUAACACAUGCAAGUCGAACGGAGAGGCCCUGCUUUUGUGCGGUGCUCGAGUGGCGAACGGGUGAGUAACACGUGAGUAACCUGCCCUUGACUUUGGGAUAACUUCAGGAAACUGGGGCUAAUACCGGAUAGGAGCUCCUGCUGCAUGGUGGGGGUUGGAAAGUUUCGGCGGUUGAGGAUGGACUCGCGGCUUAUCAGCUUGUUGGUGGGGUAGUGGCGUACCAAGGCUUUGACGGUUAGCCGGCCUGAGAGGGUGACCGGCCACAGUGGGACUGAGGUAGCGGCCGGACUGCUACGGGAGGCAGCGGCGGGAAACAGUGCACGAUGGGCGGAGGCCGGGAGGAGGAAUGCCGCGUGGGGGAUGACGGCUGUCGGGGUGGAACCAGCGUUCGCGUGUGAAGUAGCGAGUGUGACGGUAACGGAUAAAAAAGCACCGGCUAACUACGUG
rnacentral:rRNA from 1 species